ensembl:lncRNA novel transcript
CCCAGAUGGCUCUACACGUGCCUGAGGUAGCCACUCCCGAAAUAUAAAGAGCUCUCUGUCACAUCUGGCUUCCAACCGGAUGAUGGCAGAAACCAAGGGAGGGCAGGCAGAGCGGAAACGAGCCAGGAAAAGCGACAAGUCAGGAAGACCCUCGGCUCCUAUCCCGCCCCACCGCAGGGCCCCACACAGCCUGAGCCCGGGCCCCGAAAGGAACGAGGCCUCCUGCGCCUCGCGGAGACACUCACUUUUCACCUGAGGCCACCAGCUCUUUGCCCUCGCUGUUGCCAAACGCGUCCGUCUCCCCGGGGCCGUCCUUGGGGCCGGGCGCCGCCGGGGCAGCGGGUGGCGACACCCCGGGCUGCGGAUGCGUGCUCCCCUUGCCCAGCUCCUGCAAGAUCUCCGAAGGAGAGCUGGACAGGCCCCGCGCGAGGGGCUCCGCCGGCCAGCCGCCCCCGCCCCACCACGGGUGGAGUCGCGCGGCGGCAGCCGGGCCCGCGGCCGGCCGUCCCCCGCCUCGGGGACGCCGGCACAGGGUGACCAAGGGCUGUGCCCGCCGCAGAGUCGCGCUCACGCCGGCGGGCGACCGCAGGAGCAGGUCCCGCAGCAUCCCCGAGCCUCGCAGCCGCAUCAUGCCGCCGGGUCCGUCAGCGCCCGCUCAACAGGGGAGGAUGCUCCGGGCGUGGGCGGCCGGUUUCCUCGGGGAACGCGGUCUGUGGUGGGGCGGUGAGAUGACAGAAGAGGAAAGGGCAGCUACUUGGGUGUGGUUCCGGCUCGGACUCCCGCAGCGGAUGCGGGUGCUGCUGCUGCUGCUGCUGCUGCUGCUGCUGCUGCUGCUGCUGCUGCGCGCUAGGAUUGCCGCGACCGGUUCUCUUCGCUCCGCCUAAGGCUCCGCACUGAGGCUAAAGCGCAGGGGAGGGCU